AAAUAUAAAUUAUACAUGUUAAAAAAAACAAAUAAAACUAUGAUUAAAACAUGCUGCCUAUAAGUAUUAUUCAUGUGUUUUUUAUUCGUAGGAACAUAAUGAUAUAUUAGGUCAUUUAUAUUUAAAUCUUUCCUACAAUAAUGUUAUUAUUAUUCGUUUUUUUUUUUUUUUUUUUUUUUUUGUUUCUGUGCCCACGAUGUCCGCGUAAACGUUACUGGACUAUGGGCCAAAAUUAAAAAUGUACGGAAUAAACAAAACAAAAUCUUGGGA